rnacentral:misc_RNA from 1 species
GUUCUAGAACGUGUACCAUUAACUAUUCAUCGUACUCCAAUUAAGACUUCAAUAUUCACAAGAGAAAUUAUAUCUUACAAUAUUUUCAAAAUUAAAAAGUUAUCAAAUGAAUACUCAGAUUAUCACAAAUAUAAUGAAUGAAUAAUCGCUUUACACAAAUAAUUUGCUCUUAUACACAAAAGAAAUCACUCACAAGGGACUCAUCAAAAUCGUCCCCUGUACUUAAUACUGGAUCUAAGUUCUCACUUCUUCACAAUGUAGAAAAAGAAUCGGUAAAGAGUUUUAACUUCUAUACACUUACUGGUGCUUAAACAAUCAAAUCAUAGCUCUUCGCUCUUGAUCGUCCAAAGAAUCAAUUGAGCUAAGUCUAUACAGAUCAUAAGGCAUCCAUAAAAGAUCAACAGGACAAGGACUCCCUUGAUCAAGCCUGACCCAAGGUUUCCCUUUACCACUCCAAUGCAACAAA